CUCGUAGGUGGUUUGUCGCGUCGUCUGUGAAAUUCCGGGGCUUAACUCCGGGCGUGCAGGCGAUACGGGCAUAACUUGAGUACUGUAGGGGAGACUGGAAUUCCUGGUGUAGCGGUGAAAUGCGCAGAUAUCAGGAGGAACACCGGUGGCGAAGGCGGGUCUCUGGGCAGUAACUGACGCUGAGGAGCGAAAGCAUGGGUAGCGAACA
rnacentral:rRNA from 1 species